rnacentral:rRNA from 1 species
UACGGAGGGUGCGAGCGUUACCCGGGAUUUACUGGGUGUAAAGGGCGUGUAGGCGGUCUCUCAAGUCCGAUGCUAAAGACCGAAGCUCAACUUCGGGGGUGCGUUGGAUACUGUGAGGCUAGACGGUCGGAGAGGGUAGCGGAAUUUCCGGAGUAGCGGUGAAAUGCGCAGAUACCGGAAGGAACGCCAAUAGCGAAAGCAGCUACCUGGACGAUUUGUGACGCUGAGGCGCGAAAGCGUGGGGAGCAAACCGGAUUAGAUACCCGGGUAGUCCACGCCCUAAACGAUGAGUGCUGGGUGUCCGACAUCUGUUGGGUGCCGUAGCUAACGCGUUAAGCACUCCACCUGGGAAGUACGGUCGCAAGACUGAAACUCAAAGGAAUUGACGGGGGCCCGCACAAGCGGUGGAGCAUGUGGUUUAAUUCGAAGCAACGCGCAGAACCUUACCAGGUCUUGACAUCCACGGAACCCUGGUGAAAGCCGGGGGUGCCCGCAAGGGAGCCGUGAGGCAGGUGCUGCAUGGUCGUCGUCAGUUCGUGUCGUGAGAUGUUGGGUUAAGUCCCGCAACGAGCGCAACCCUUGUUGCUAGUUGCCAUCAGUUCGGCUGGGCACUCUAGCGAGACUGCCUACGAAAGUAGGAGGAAGGCGGGGAUGACGUCUGAUCCGCAUGGCCCUUACGACCUGGGCGACACACGUGCUACAAUGCCUGCCACAAAGCGCUGCGACCCGGCAACGGGAAGCCAAUCGCAUAAAAGCAGGCUCAGUUCGGAUUGGGGUCUGCAACUCGACCCCAUGAAGCUGGAAUCGCUAGUAAUCGCGGAUCAGCCAUGCCGCGGUGAAUACGUUCCCGGGCC